rnacentral:rRNA from 1 species
UUGAAGAGUUUGAUCAUGGCUCAGAUUGAACGCUGGCGGCAGGCCUAACACAUGCAAGUCGAGCGGUAGCACAGAGAGCUUGCUCUCGGGUGACGAGCGGCGGACGGGUGAGUAAUGUCUGGGAAACUGCCUGAUGGAGGGGGAUAACUACUGGAAACGGUAGCUAAUACCGCAUAAUGUCGCAAGACCAAAGUGGGGGACCUUCGGGCCUCAUGCCAUCAGAUGUGCCCAGAUGGGAUUAGCUAGUAGGUGGGGUAACGGCUCACCUAGGCGACGAUCCCUAGCUGGUCUGAGAGGAUGACCAGCCACACUGGAACUGAGACACGGUCCAGACUCCUACGGGAGGCAGCAGUGGGGAAUAUUGCACAAUGGGCGCAAGCCUGAUGCAGCCAUGCCGCGUGUGUGAAGAAGGCCUUCGGGUUGUAAAGCACUUUCAGCGGGGAGGAAGGCGUUAAGGUUAAUAACCUUGGCGAUUGACGUUACCCGCAGAAGAAGCACCGGCUAACUCCGUGCCAGCAGCCGCGGUAAUACGGAGGGUGCAAGCGUUAAUCGGAAUUACUGGGCGUAAAGCGCACGCAGGCGGUCUGUCAAGUCGGAUGUGAAAUCCCCGGGCUCAACCUGGGAACUGCAUUCGAAACUGGCAGGCUAGAGUCUUGUAGAGGGGUAGAAUUCCGUGUAGCGGUGAAAUGCGUAGAGAUCUGGAGGAAUACCGGUGGCGAAGGCGGCCCCCUGGACAAAGACUGACGCUCAGGUGCGAAAGCGUGGGGAGCAAACAGGAUUAGAUACCCUGGUAGUCCACGCCGUAAACGAUGUCGAUUUGGAGGUUGUGCCCUUGAGGCGUGGCUUCCGGAGCUAACGCGUUAAAUCGACCGCCUGGGGAGUACGGCCGCAAGGUUAAAACUCAAAUGAAUUGACGGGGGCCCGCACAAGCGGUGGAGCAUGUGGUUUAAUUCGAUGCAACGCGAAGAACCUUACCUGGUCUUGACAUCCACAGAACUUAGCAGAGAUGCUUUGGUGCCUUCGGGAACUGUGAGACAGGUGCUGCAUGGCUGUCGUCAGCUCGUGUUGUGAAAUGUUGGGUUAAGUCCCGCAACGAGCGCAACCCUUAUCCUUUGUUGCCAGCGGUCCGGCCGGGAACUCAAAGGAGACUGCCAGUGAUAAACUGGAGGAAGGUGGGGAUGACGUCAAGUCAUCAUGGCCCUUACGACCAGGGCUACACACGUGCUACAAUGGCAUAUACAAAGAGAAGCGACCUCGCGAGAGCAAGCGGACCUCAUAAAGUAUGUCGUAGUCCGGAUUGGAGUCUGCAACUCGACUCCAUGAAGUCGGAAUCGCUAGUAAUCGUAGAUCAGAAUGCUACGGUGAAUACGUUCCCGGGCCUUGUACACACCGCCCGUCACACCAUGGGAGUGGGUUGCAAAAGAAGUAGGUAGCUUAACCUUCGGGAGGGCGCUUACCACUUUGUGAUUCAUGACUGGGGUGAAGUCGUAACAAGGUAACCGUAGGGGAACCUGCGGUUGGAUCACCUCCUU